rnacentral:lncRNA from 1 species
UCAUUUUAUUAUAUUGAGUUUUUUUUUUUUGGAUUGGAUGCCCAAAUUUUGACAUCAAAAUAUAAAAAAACUAAAAAAAAAAUAGUGUAGAGACGUGACAUUGUGGUUGGGGCAAUCUUAGCCCUCAAUUUAGAAUGGACGGUUGGAUAAGGGGAAGCAUAUAAGUUUUAUGUUGUAAGGGAAGCAUAUAAAGCUUGCUCUAAAUAAUUAGUCAAUAAAAAAGUAUAAAUUCUCAAUAGAAACAAAAACAUUAUAAUAGACAUUGGCAUCACCGACAUGAUGUGUGACAUCACCCACAUGGAACAUUAAUUAUUCUUUAACCCAGUUUCUAUGCGACAAUCCCGCAUAUGUAAAAAUGAGGGCCUCUUAAUAAAUCUAUUUUUGAGAGGGAUUUGAGACUUAAUUUUUAAAUACAUGUAUUCUCUAACAUGGAGAUCAUGAAUAUGAAUAAAUAAAUAAAUUUUAAAAACUAGAAAUAAUAAUUCUAGUAAGAAAACAUUUGGAUCAUUAGUUUCCAUUGGUUUUAGAUGGAACACUUACUUGCAUCCAUCUUUAAGAUGGAUGCUUUACAGUUUCUAGACCGUAUAUGUAGAAAUGCGAUCCAGCCUGCAUGAAAGAAUUUUCUAUUAUUUUUGAAUCACUAUAAAAUGCAACUAGUUUUUUAUAAAAAUAUCCAUUAUCCCCCUCCUAAUAACCAAAAAUGUUCUUCUUGAAAAAUUUUGUAUUACAAAUCAAGGAUAUUUAAAUGUCCAAAAAUAUUGUGUGCAUUAAAUAAAUACUCCAUGUGUAUGGAGUAGCCUAACAAAACCUUAAAAUAAAUUACUUUUUGUAUCGUUUACUCUACAAAUAUGAGAUGACACAUACUAACCAAAGUCUAACCCCAUCUAGAUGUGUCCAAAAUUAAUGAAGAUAGAAAGUGGGUUCAAUCAAUGUCCAAAAUUAAUGAAGACAGAAAGUGAGUUCAAUCAAUGUCCAAAAUUAAUGAAGAUAGAAAGUGGGUUCAAUCAAAUUGCAGUUUAUGAGAAACCAGUUAAAAGUCCUUUUCCAUAACCAAUAUUCCUAAUUGUCUUGGAUUCGUGUAAAAAAAAAACCUUUAGAAAAUAAGUGGAGAAUAGGAAAAAGAGUUUUUGAAGGAUUUUAGGAAGAAGAACAAUCAAUAACAAUAAAAAAAGAUAAACAAAAGAAAAGAAGAUAAUUAGAAGGCCAGGCCUAUUGGCUCGGCUCCUAGAGUUGGGCAUGGAUAAGGCGAAAAUGUUUUGAGGGUCUCCUUUUCAUCGAUCUUUGAUUUUUGCCUAAACCAAAGAUUAACUUGAAUUGAAAGGGAACUUUCAUCUACCUAGGGUUUUCCCCUCAACUUGGAGGAAUUUUCUUCUCCUGAGGAUCUGAAAUUUGCACAUAUCACCAAGGGUAUCUAGGAUUUAGGGGUAGAGUUUUAGAGAACUUAUGAAUUCCAGUGUUUUGGUCUACAGAGCUUCGAUUUUGCACACCAGAAACUGUAUUUUAAUCACACUUUUCAAACCUAAUAACUGCCUCCCCCAUGCUCUUC